rnacentral:rRNA from 1 species
CUACGGGAGGCAGCAGUGGGGAAUUUUGGACAAUGGGCGCAAGCCUGAUCCAGCCAUUCCGCGUGAGUGAAGAAGGCCUUCGGGUUGUAAAGCUCUUUCGCAAGGGAAGAAAGAUUACUCUCUAACAUAGAGUGAUUAUGACGGUACCUUGAUAAGAAGCACCGGCUAACUACGUGCCAGCAGCCGCGGUAAUACGUAGGGUGCGAGCGUUAAUCGGAAUUACUGGGCGUAAAGCGUGCGCAGGCGGUUUUGUAAGUCAGAUGUGAAAUCCCCGAGCUCAACUUGGGAACUGCGUUUGAAACUACAAGACUAGAAUAUGUCAGAGGGGGGUAGAAUUCCACGUGUAGCAGUGAAAUGCGUAGAGAUGUGGAGGAAUACCAAUGGCGAAGGCAGCCCCCUGGGAUAAUAUUGACGCUCAUGCACGAAAGCGUGGGGAGCAAACAGGAUUAGAUACCCCGGUAGC